rnacentral:rRNA from 1 species
UCUCCCGCUCGCGGGAGGCUGCCCGCCGGAGUGCCGAAACCAAACUCUUGAUAUUUUAUGUCUCUCUGAGUAAACUUUUAAAUAAGUCAAAACUUUCAACAACGGAUCUCUUGGUUCUGGCAUCGAUGAAGAACGCAGCGAAAUGCGAUAAGUAAUGUGAAUUGCAGAAUUCAGUGAAUCAUCGAAUCUUUGAACGCACAUUGCGCUCGCCAGUAUUCUGGCGAGCAUGCCUGUUCGAGCGUCAUUUCAACCAUCAAGCUCUGCUUGCGUUGGGGAUCCGCGGCUGCCCGCGGUCCCUCAAAAACAGUGGCGGGCUCGCUAGUCACACCGAGCGUAGUAACUCUACAUCGCUAUGGUCGUGCGGCGGGUUCUUGCCGUAAAACCCCCCAAUUUCUAAGGUUGACCUCGGAUCAGGUAGGAAUACCCGCUGAACUUAAGCAUAUCAAUAAGCGGAGGAAAAGAAACCAACAGGGAUUGCCCUAGUAACGGCGAGUGAAGCGGCAACAGCUCAAAUUUGAAAUCUGGCUUCGGCCCGAGUUGUAAUUUGUAGAGGAAGCUUUUGGUGAGGCACCUUCUGAGUCCCCUGGAACGGGGCGCCAUAGAGGGUGAGAGCCCCGUAUAGUCGGAUGCCGAUCCAAUGUAAAGCUCCUUCGACGAGUCGAGUAGUUUGGGAAUGCUGCUCAAAAUGGGAGGUAAAUUUCUUCUAAAGCUAAAUACCGGCCAGAGACCGAUAGCGCACAAGUAGAGUGAUCGAAAGAUGAAAAGCACUUUGAAAAGAGGGUUAAAUAGCACGUGAAAUUGUUGAAAGGGAAGCGUUUGUGACCAGACUUGCGCCGUUCCGAUCAUCCGGUGUUCUCACCGGUGCACUCGGGACGGCUCAGGCCAGCAUCGGUUUUGGCGGGGGGACAAA